rnacentral:rRNA from 1 species
AGUGAACGCUGGCGGUAGGCCUAACACAUGCAAGUCGAACGGCAGCACAGUAAGAGCUUGCUCUUACGGGUGGCGAGUGGCGGACGGGUGAGGAAUACAUCGGAAUCUACUUUUUCGUGGGGGAUAACGUAGGGAAACUUACGCUAAUACCGCAUACGACCUACGGGUGAAAGCAGGGGAUCUUCGGACCUUGCGCGAUUGAAUGAGCCGAUGCCGGAUUAGCUAGUUGGCGGGGUAAAGGCCCACCAAGGCGACGAUCCGUAGCUGGUCUGAGAGGAUGGUCCGGCCACCUGGAACUGAGGCACGGGCCCGGCUCCUAAGGGAAGGAACAGUGGGGAAUAUUGGACAAUGGGCGCAAGCCUGAUCCAGCCAUACCGCGUGGGUGAAGAAGGCCUUCGGGUUGUAAAGCCCUUUUGUUGGGAAAGAAAAGCAGCAGGUUAAUACCCCGCUGUUCUGACGGUACCCAAAGAAUAAGCACCGGCUAACUUCGUG